rnacentral:rRNA from 1 species
CACGUAGUUAGCCGGGGCUUCUUCUGGAGGUACCGUCAAUACGGACGGCUAUUCGCCGCCGCACCUUCGUCCCUCCUGAAAGGGGUUUACAACCCGAAGGCCUUCUUCCCCCACGCGGCGUUGCUGCGUCACGCUUUCGCGCAUUGCGCAAGAUUCCCCACUGCUGCCUCCCGUAGGAGUCUGGGCCGUGUCUCAGUCCCAGUGUGGCUGAUCGUCCUCUCAGACCAGCUACCCAUCGUUGCCUUGGUGAGCCGUUACCUCACCAACUAGCUAAUGGGCCGCGGGCCCCUCCCGAAGCGGAGGCCGAAGCUUCCUUUACUCCACACACUGAUGUGUGUGGAGCACAUCCGGUAUUAGCCCGAGUUUCCUCGGGUUGUCCCGGUCAUCGGGGCAGGUUACCCACGUGUUACUCACCCGUUCGCUGCUUUGCCCCAGGGCAAGCCCUGGUUCGUCGCUCAACUUGCAUGUGUUAGGCACGCCGCCAGCGUUCGUCCUGAGCCAGGAUCAAACUCU